rnacentral:misc_RNA from 1 species
GAAGAAAACAGAGAGUACCAUGGCAGAAGAAGUGAAGCUCUUCAGGAACUGGUCAAGCCCAUAUGGUUUGAGGGUGUUGUGGGCACUAAAACUGAAGGGUAUUGAGUAUGAAGAAGUACUUGAAGAUCUUUCCAACAAGAGUCCUUUACUUCUGCAGUAUAAUCCUGUUUACAAGAAGAUCCCUGUACUUGUUCAUAAUGGAAAACCCAUCUGUGAAUCUGUUCUUAUUCUUGAAUACCUGGACGAGACUUGGAAACAAAAUCCACUGCUUCCUGAAGAUCCUUACCAACGAGCCAAGGCUCGCUUCUGGGCUAAGUUCGGGGAUGAGAAGAUCUUGCCAACAAUUAGAUUUGACGCUCUCAUAAAGCAAGGAAAAGAACAGGAAGAAGCAAUUCUUUCAACCAUAGAGAGCUUGAAAUAUUUGGAAGAAGAGCUAAGAGGAAAGAAAUUCUUUGGAGGAGAGACCAUUGGACUAGCAGAUCUUACAUUGGGUUGGAUUGCUUAUUAUAUGGAUGUACUUGAGGAGGUAAUUGGUGUAAAAGUGAUAGACCAAGAAAAAUUCCCAUUAUUAGUGGCAUGGAUCCAAGAAUUCUCAAAUAUCCCAAUGAUCAAGAAAAGUUGGCCUCCAAGAGACAAACUCUAUGAUAGGUAUGCUGGCUUUCGCGGGGCUGCCCUUGGAAAAGAAACACCAAAAUGAACCCAUGCAAUAUGGAAAUUCCUAUAGAAUUGUAUUAAUAUUAUGAAAUACUUAUCAAGAAUAAACACAUCCUUUAGGGGUGAUUGUGUAUUAUUUGCUAUGGAGGGUGAUUUCUCAUUGAUUUGUCCCAAAUAAGGCCAUCAAUCCUUAUCUUUAAUUUCGUCUUGUGAAGCAGAUAUGGAGAAAACUUAUCAGGGACAAGAUAGAGAUAGAGGGUACAUACUCCCUAUUCACAAGAUCCUUAACAUGCAAACAUCAACUACAUGAUCAUAUAAAAAAUACAUAUUGGCUUCAAAUUGGUGUUAAGGAUCUUGUGAAUAGGGAGUAUG